rnacentral:rRNA from 1 species
UACAGAGGGUGCGAGCGUUGUUCGGAAUUAUUGGGCGUAAAGGGCGCGUAGGCGGUGCGGUAAGUCACCUGUGAAAUCUCCUGGCUCAACUGGGAGCUUGCAGGCGAAACUGCCGUGCUGGAGUGUGGGAGAGGUGCGUGGAAUUCCCGGUGUAGCGGUGAAAUGUGUAGAUAUCGGGAGGAACACCUGUGGCGAAAGCGGCGCACUGGACCACAACUGACGCUGAGGCGCGAAAGCUAGGGGAGCAAACAGG